rnacentral:misc_RNA from 1 species
UCUGGAUUCCAUUGUUUUCUCUCUUCGUGGCGACAGCAGUCGCAGCGCCCGCUAUCCGCCCACUAUUUCCCGCUGUUGUCUCUGUUGUGUUCAUCUCACUUCUGCCACCGGCGUUGAGCGCCGUGCUUUCUGUGUGCUGUUCAUGGAGGCCGCCGCCACACCCGAAGCGCAUCCCGUUGCGCCGGCACUGCGCAAGGUGCACCCCGCCGCACGCUGGGUAGCUGGUCUCUUCUCACCCAUGUCGCUUCGGGAUCAGGGGUAUUGCGCAGACAUGUUCCAGUGCAUUUUGUGGGGGUCACUGGCCGUCUCCUUUCCGAUCGCGUACUGGAUGGGCUGCGUGCUCGUCACUGUCAUCGGUGUGUGCGCGGCGACGGUGGUGUGUCUCGUGCUCUUUGUCCCGAACUGGUAUCAGCACCCAGACCCGGCUCUCAAGUACGCGGAUGACACGGAGGUGUACGACUACUACCAGCAGUACGAGGCGGCGAAGAAGGCGGCACGUGAGGCGUCAGCGCCGUCCAAGAAGACGGCAGACGCUUCUCCAGCCUUGCCAAAAGCCAAGCCGCGGGCUGCGACCGCAUGAAGAACAGGCGGUGGGACAGUGGCGACCGAAGUGGGCCUGUGCGCAUGUGUGCUGACCGAGACACGAAGAAGCCUCGCCGAGUGGCGCGCGAGGAGACGAAGCAGGUCAGCUGGUUCGAACGGGGGCAAGCAGUCGAGGCAUGCGGCUCUCUGCGAAGGUGCUGUGCUGUGUGCUCUGCGAUGAUUGUUGUGAUGCGAGUGGCGUAUCGUCGGCGUGGCAUGUCACCAUUGGGUGUGCGCUAUACCGUCCUCCUUCCCUCGCUCGUACGUACGGACGCUGCGACCCGCCGCCCAUCCUCGUCCCUGUCGGCUCGUUCUAGUGCGCACCUUCUCUCUUCUGGCGUGUGCGGAAACGUAUGCUGUUGCAACUGUGGCGUGUCUUUUUGUCCCCUUCUCCAUCGCCGACUGCCGUUCACUUCUGCUGGCGGGACCGAGUUGAUAAAAGAGGUGAGAGGAGCAGCAGAACCGACAGAGUGCGGCUGCCUCCACGAUCACAGGUUGAGAGCGGGCGGUGCGUAAGUUGAUGACAGAGGCCAGUGGGGCUGCACACGCGUCAGUCGCAUCGCGACUCGCUCUGUCUUCAAGGGUCUGCUUGUGAGUACGUGUUUUCAUGACCCUGAUGGACGUGACAUUCUUCGCAUGCGCUCUCGCACAUACGCUGCCCUCGCUCCCCCGCGCCGCGUGGGCGCCUCCUCAAAGCCUCACCGACCCCACCACUCCUCGUCUUCUUCGUGCCUUUGCCGCUUCCUUUCUCUCUCCCUUCGGCUCUUCACACGCUUACCCACCUCGCUAUUGUCAG